AAAGACGGUCUUGCUGUCACUUAUAGAUGGAUCCGCGCUGCAUUAGCUAGUUGGUAAGGUAACGGCUUACCAAGGCAACGAUGCAUAGCCGACCUGAGAGGGUGAUCGGCCACACUGGAACUGAGACACGGUCCAGACUCCUACGGGAGGCAGCAGUAGGGAAUCUUCCGCAAUGGGCGAAAGUCUGACGGAGCAACGCCGCGUGAGUGAUGAAGGUCUUCGGAUCGUAAAACUCUGUUAUUAGGGAAGAACAUAUGUGUAAGUAACUGUGCACAUCUUGACGGUACCUAAUCAGAAAGCCACGGCUAACUACGUGCCAGCAGCCGCGGUAAUACGUAGGUGGCAAGCGUUAUCCGGAAUUAUUGGGCGUAAAGCGCGCGUAGGCGGUUUUUUAAGUCUGAUGUGAAAGCCCACGGCUCAACCGUGGAGGGUCAUUGGAAACUGGAAAACUUGAGUGCAGAAGAGGAAAGUGGAAUUCCAUGUGUAGCGGUGAAAUGCGCAGAGAUAUGGAGGAACACCAGUGGCGAAGGCGACUUUCUGGUCUGUAACUGACGCUGAUGUGCGAAAGCGUGGGGAUCAAACAGGAUUAGAUACCCUGGUAGUCCACGCCGUAAACGAUGAGUGCUAAGUGUUAGGGGGUUUCCGCCCCUUAGUGCUGCAGCUAACGCAUUAAGCACUCCGCCUGGGGAGUACGACCGCAAGGUUGAAACUCAAAGGAAUUGACGGGGACCCGCACAAGCGGUGGAGCAUGUGGUUUAAUUCGAAGCAACGCGAAGAACCUUACCAAAUCUUGACAUCCUUUGACAACUCUAGAGAUAGAGCCUUCCCCUUCGGGGGACAAAGUGACAGGUGGUGCAUGGUUGUCGUCAGCUCGUGUCGUGAGAUGUUGGGUUAAGUCCCGCAACGAGCGCAACCCUUAAGCUUAGUUGCCAUCAUUAAGUUGGGCACUCUAAGUUGACUGCCGGUGACAAACCGGAGGAAGGUGGGGAUGACGUCAAAUCAUCAUGCCCCUUAUGAUUUGGGCUACACACGUGCUACAAUGGACAAUACAAAGGGCAGCGAAACCGCGAGGUCAAGCAAAUCCCAUAAAGUUGUUCUCAGUUCGGAUUGUAGUCUGCAACUCGACUACACGAAGCUGGAAUCGCUAGUAAUCGUAGAUCAGCAUGCUACGGUGAAUACGUUCCCGGGUCUUGUACACACCGCCCGUCACACCACGAGAGUUUGUAACACCCGAAGCCGGUGGAGUAACCUUUUAGGAGCUAGCCGUCGAAGGUGGGACAAAUGAUUGGGGUGAAGUCGUAACAAGGUAGCCGUAUCGGAAGGUGCGGCUGGAUCACCU
rnacentral:rRNA from 1 species